UCUCGCUGGCCUGGAAGGUGACGGUGUUGAAUGUGGCCUUUUUGCCUUUUCCAAAGGCCACAUUUUUCACCCUUGCA
rnacentral:miRNA from 1 species